ensembl:lncRNA
GUGCUGUAGAGAUGAAAGUACAAUUCAUGUCCUAUUUACGAUAUAGUUUUUAGAUACACAGCGAUAUUUUGUAGUUUACAGUAGCAUGUAUGUAUAAAAGUGUUACAUUUAUAAUUACUAUGGAGCGCGUUGUGUUCUGGGAAACAGUAUCCCAUGCAGUGUCUUCAGAUGCAUACAUCAAAUUUCAGCAAAUGUAGCAGGUAAUCCGGGCAUUCCAUGCAUACAGAACAUUCACUUACUAUUCACAGUAUACAUGCAGCAUGCUGCAAUAUAGUAGGAGUUGUCUGGUAGUAUGCCAUUCCGAACACAGCUUCUGUACUGAUUUCAGUGUACUUGAGUUAUAUUUAGCAGAUUCUGGUAAAUAGUAGGUCAUCCAGGUAAUUCAUGCAUACAGAAAACUUGCACACUAUGCACAGCAUACAUACUGGAUACUGCAGAAAUAGUAAGAGUAGUAUGAUAGUGUGGCAUUUCGAACACAGCAACCCUCUAAUCUCUCUAUAGUAAAAUAAUCUCUGAUUUUAGCUGUAAAAACAGUCCGUUAUAACGCUUAAUACUGCAAACUUAUAUUUGUUUUCUAUUAUUUUAAUUUAAUAUUGUAAUCAUAAACACAGCGUUGGUUUGUUGUUUUUUAACCAAUAGCUGCUAAAAUGUCUUUGUCAUUUUUCACCCAGAAAACUUUGCCACACAAGAAUACAGCGAGUCCAAAUACUUCCAGCCUCUUGUUUUGUGACAGGAUAACAUGAAAUCCUUCUAGAUAAACUCAGAGUCUGUGAUGGAUCUGCCUCGAACGUUAAGACCACACAGAGCAGCAGAAAACUGUCAUUUUGAGUUCUUGUUCUGGCUCUGGCUGAAAUCCACGACAGAUUCCAGACCCAUUCCGGAGGAUAUCUAACACUGAGAACGCUACUCGAGGGACUGAACCUGGACUUCAGUGAUAAGAGGCUGGAUUACACGGGUGCAGACCACACCAGAUACAGUCAGUUGAGAAGAUAUAGCGAUGAUGUACACUUCAGUCCACUGAGGCCUGAGAUUAUUGACCAAGCUGGUUUAGAGAUGGCCACUUUGGUUUAGAGACCACUUUGGACCGGAAACAAACCAGCUACAUUCCAAAAACCAGCUUGUACUGUACGAUACAGUGUGUUUUCUAGAAGGAAUACAGACCUGGUAUUUAGCUUGAUGAUUAUUUAUUUCUUUAUUUAUUUUUGUAAAUCUAGCACAUUUGCAGGUGAACAUGAAAUCCAGUCUUAUUAUCUUUUUUUUAUGUAGUUUUUAGAUUUUUGUACCUUAUCUGACCCACUUUUACUUUGCCCUCCAAAACACACCUGGUCUGAACAAGCAUCCUCCCAUAUUUAUUUAUGGAAAUAUACAGAUAUUUAUUUAUGGAGAUGUUGUACAGAUGUGAUUGUAAAGG